rnacentral:rRNA from 1 species
AUGGCUAGACCCUGCAGUAGGCCGCCAUCUGGAUCUACAUGGCCGGCGCAUGAACUUCAUCUAGAUGGACUGAUCUGCUGGUCACCUACCACAUCAGAUCUGAAGGGUGGCCUGGUGGGCAACAUCUCGCUCACAAAUUGGAGGAUGCCCAAAAUUUUUGGGUGGCUGCAGAUUUUAGAAAUAGAUUCGAGCACAACACGAUCAGAUGACACCAAAAAAAUUGAAUCUGAAUCCAUAAGAAAAGAUAGAAUAGCAAACGGACAAAAAAACCAGGAAAAAAUAGUGCGAGAAAAAAAUCAACAAAAAAAAGAGCUUGCUCCAGAUGAGGAAAACAAAUUGAGGUAG